CUACAUAAUAUCACUUUUCAGGUCAGAAGUUUUGGUUUGUAUAGGAAACAUCAUAUUUCAGGCUGAUAUAUUUAUAAAUAACAAUGAAUAAGAAGCAGAUGUACAUAGUUUCUUGUUACACUUUCAAAAAUAAUGCAUUUAACAAUACAUACACAUUAAAUUUACUCAAACAAAUGAAAAUUAAAACAUAAAUCUUCACAGGGAUAUUUAUUGGGGCAAUCUUAUUAAAAUCCGAUGUUGUGAUACGCUACACUCCUUGGAGAUUAUCGUAGCGAAAAAACUAACAGCUGAUUUUAAUGAGAUUGUUAUUGGGGUUGCUGGCUUUUAAAGUAAAGCCAUGGGAUUUUAUCAUAUAAUUAUUUAAAUAAGGUAAAUACAAAGGUACGGUGCCAAUGUUCGUUUUAUUUCUGUGAACCAUAUUUGAGAAUCGUAUUGGGAAACAAGAUACACAUUACAGUCAAACAAUUGGUGAUGCUGAUGGUCAAAUAACAGUAUAUGGACAGGAUGGUCAUCUCCCUUUAAGUAUAUGAACCGAGGCAGAGCUGAGGUGAAUAUAGGUUUUAGGAGAUGAGUGUCACAGGGUGACUUUGUUUACUCACAUAUAUGUUGUUAUUUUGGUUGUUAAUUCUAUUUCGAUUUGCAGAACGUCAGUAUCUUAUAAAUGCUAUAUUCUGCAGACUUCGGUGUAUAAUACAUGUCCACAUUUUACAUCUAAUUAAUUAAGUAGUGUCCACUAUUUACUUGGGCAUUUACCUGUAAACUUGUCGAACGGGUUGAGUAACAGUGAUACCUGUAUUUGAUGAGCUGACUAUUCACUCUCAGGUAACACCUUAACGAGUCAAGGUGUGGUCAGAAAUGUUUGUAUAAAGUUAGUUUACAAUGUGGCGUGGACACACACACUGGAUUUCUGAGGUCCCAGUUUGCGGGCUAGGUGUAUGUAGUUUUGUAUUGUAAAGUAUGGAGAUAUAGUACAGAUGGUGGUGAAACCUGUUGACAGUGCGGCGUUCCGUGUUUAUCAUCAAUAGUUUGGCAACAUAGAAUAUUUGGAGUCGAGUCUAGACAAUAGGGCAGCCGUAAUGUGUACACCGCUUAUGUUGGGCCAGUUUUGUGUAGUUACCGAAAACCAAAUACGUAAAAUUCCGUAGUAUCGUUUAUCCAGAUUUCAUAGUUUAAUAUAAAGAAGAAGGAACAGUUCAUUAAACAUUUGACAGUAUUAUUUCAUUUGAUUUCAUCUAUUUAUAUUUGUAAAUUUGUACCUAAUUAAAUUGUUAUUUUGUUUAAA